rnacentral:rRNA from 1 species
UACGGAGGGUGCAAGCGUUAAUCGGAAUUACUGGGCGUAAAGCGCACGUAGGCGGUUGAGUAAGUCGGAUGUGAAAGCCCUGGGCUUAACCUGGGAACUGCAUUCGAUACUGCUCAGCUAGAGUAUGGGAGAGGGAAGCGGAAUUUCCGGUGUAGCGGUGAAAUGCGUAGAUAUCGGAAGGAACACCAAUGGCGAAGGCAGCUUCCUGGCCCAAUACUGACGCUCAGGUGCGAAAGCGUGGGGAUCAAAC